GUAGGUGGCGAGCGUUAUCCGGAAUUACUGGGCGUAAAGGGCACGCAGGCGGCCAAGCAAGUCUGACGUGAAAGCUCCUGGCUUAACUGGGAGAGGUCGUUGGAAACUGCCUGGCUUGAGGUAAUGAGAGGGGUGCGGAAUUCCCGGUGUAGUGGUGGAAUGCGUAGAUAUCGGGAGGAACACCAGUGGCGAAAGCGGCACCCUAGCAUUGACCUGACGCUCAUGUGCGAAAGCGUGGGGAGCGAACGGGAUUAGAUACCCCGGUAGUCCACGCUGUAAACGAUGAGAACUAGGUGUGGGUAGUGUUAAAACUAUCUGUGCCGAAGCAAACGCGAUAAGUUCUCCGCCUGGGGAGUACGGCCGCAAGGCUA
rnacentral:rRNA from 1 species